rnacentral:rRNA from 1 species
GCCUUAGAUGUUCUGGGCCGCACGCGCGCUACACUGACGAAUGCAACGAGCUUAUAACCUUGGCCGAAAGGUCUGGGUAAUCUCCAAAUUUCGUCGUGAUGGGGAUAGAUUAUUGCAAUUAUUAAUCUUUAACGAGGAAUGCCUAGUAAGCGCAAGUCAUCAGCUUGCGUUGAUUACGUCCCUGCCCUUUGUACACACCGCCCGUCGCUCCUACCGAUUGAAUGGUCCGGUGAAGCGCUCGGACCGCGGCCUCUUGACGGUUUUCCGUCGAUUGGCUGUGGGAAGUUCGUUAAACCUUNUNAUUUAUNGGAAGGAGAANUCGUANCA